GACGAACGCUGGCGGCGUGCUUAACACAUGCAAGUCGAACGGAAAGGCCCUGCUUUUGUGGGGUGCUCGAGUGGCGAACGGGUGAGUAACACGUGAGUAACCUGCCCUUGACUUUGGGAUAACUUCAGGAAACUGGGGCUAAUACCGGAUAGGAGCUCCUGCUGCAUGGUGGGGGUUGGAAAGUUUCGGCGGUUGGGGAUGGACUCGCGGCUUAUCCGCUUGUUGGUGGGGUAGUGGCUUACCAAGGCUUUGACGGGUAGCCGACCUGAGAGGGUGACCGGCCACAUUGGGACUGAGAUACGGCCCAGACUCCUACGGGAGGCAACAGUGGGGAAUAUUGCACAAUGGGCGGAAGCCUGAUGCAGCAACGCCGCGUGCGGGAUGACGGCCUUCGGGUUGUAAACCGCUUUCGCCUGUGACGAAGCGUGAGUGACGGUAAUGGGUAAAGAAGCACCGGCUAACUACGUG
rnacentral:rRNA from 1 species